UACGAAGGGGGCUAGCGUUGCUCGGAAUCACUGGGCGUAAAGGGUGCGUAGGCGGGUCUUUAAGUCAGGGGUGAAAUCCUGGAGCUCAACUCCAGAACUGCCUUUGAUACUGAGGAUCUUGAGUUCGGGAGAGGUGAGUGGAACUGCGAGUGUAGAGGUGAAAUUCGUAGAUAUUCGGAAGAACACCAGUGGCGAAGGCGGCUCACUGGCCCGGUACUGACGCUGAGGCACGAAAGCGUGGGGAGCAAACAGG
rnacentral:rRNA from 1 species